UCCAUCCAUCCAUCCAACCAUCCAUCCAUCCAUCCAUCCAUCUGUCCGUCUGUCCGUCCAUUCAACCAUCCAUCCAUCCAUCCAUCCAUCCAUCCAUCCAUCCAUCCAUCCAUUCAUCUAGUUGUUCAACAAAUACUGUGAGCGCAGACUGUGCAGGUCCUGUGCUGGGUCCAGGAGGACAUGGUGGUGACCAAGACAGACACAAUCCUACAGCAUGAGGCCAUCGUGUAUUGAGGGAGAGAAGUAUUGAACAGAUAAUGCCAUGGGGAACUGAAUCACCGCGGGAAGCACUGUGAAGAGAGAAAAAGGCCAGAGAACAGAAGCCAAACUCUUGGAGAAGAGAUGACUGUUGUCAACUUUCAUGGAAGGACACUGGAGAUAGAGGCCUGGGUCUGUCCUGCUGUGGCCUGGGUCAGGUGCGUGGUGGGCGUUUCGAGAAGGUGGAGCCGAGUCCUGACUCUGCGAGCUUCCUUGGAGGGGCUGCCCGGGGGCUGAGCUCUGGGUGACUUCGAAGCCGGCCUGGGAGCGAUGGGCUGCUGCCAACAGGCCAGAUGGCCCUUCCUGUGUCAGCCGCUCUGCCCUCCUCCCAAACUCUGUGAUUCUGUCACUUGCCGACUGCAGCCUUGUUGGAACUGCCAGGGGGUUCUGGGCUGGUGUGUCUUUAUUGUCCAGCGUUGCCCUAAAUGUGUUAUUCUGUUGCACAAAACCCUUUCUUCAUGGGCUGUUUCUCUUCAUGGUCUGAUGGUGCUAUCCGCACCCUUGGCAAAAUGAGGAGCACAGCUGUCUUUGCUGCCUGCUCACCUCCUGUCUGGCCCUGCCACCUGCCCAGUGUCCUCGCAGUGGCCCGGCCUCGCCCCAGCUGCUGGCAUCUUGUUAGCACCAAGCACGAGCACCCCCAAUCCCGACAGCUCACCGCAGCUCCGUGAGGUCGUGGAUCAAGACAAAACCCACGGCGACGCUGAAAGCUGAGCCUGUAGAAGGCGACGCCAGACCGAGAACAGGACCGUUCACGGGAUUCCCAGCUCUCCUUGCUUACUGCAGACACCGUGCCAACGGUCAUGCCUCCCCUUCUACUGAGCUCACUGGGAAGGUGGACAGAUGUGCUUCUGGAAUCUCCAGUGGGGGAAGGCGCCCAUCUCAGUCCCUCAUUCCUGGUUGGUCUGCGCUGUGAUUCACUGGGGUUCCAUAACCCCCCGCCCGGGGCCUCUGGCACUCUCAGUGGCUGUUGGGGAAGGAGGUGUUUCCCCAGCAGGCUCUGGCCCUGGCUCCAGCUGUCUGACGAGCAGGACACUUUCCAGAACGUGCUUCCCAUUUCUGCAAUUUGCUGUUUCUGGCCUGGUUCGUAAGCAGACAGUGACAUGGGGUACUGUGGUGGGGAGGGGUAAGAAGACUGCCUCAAAGAUAGCUCAUCAGAGAUGGAGAGGAAUGGCUGACCCUCUUUCUAGUGGGUCCAAUCCUGGGCCACUGAGACAGGACAGAUGAGAGAAGAGGAGAGAAGAGUCUUCUCACCUUUUCCCAGUGGGCUUCUGCUUGAUGAAGGGCAUCCUGGGUGGGGCAGGUGAUACUGCUGGGAACUCUCCCUUUGUCUAAAUUCCAAGCCAUACUUAGUGAGAAGGUUUAAAGGCCAAUUGGUGAGCCAUUCACUAUUUUGCCCUAGACAUCUCAUGUCUGAUGUUUAAUGCACUCUUACUGUUUAAUCCCUGCCCUGCCCUGGUCAUCUUCCAACAACAGCUCCAGAGUUUUCACUUGCGCACCAGACAUCCCUUAGUCCAGGUGGCCUGGGCAGGUCUCUGGAAGUGGAGCUCAUGACCUUGACCUUAGCCAAUCAGCACUUCGCAUUCCCUGGCCACUGUGAUUGGUUAAUGGGUGGGCAUGUGACUGGACGUUGGUACAAUCAGAAUGAGGUUCAGGACUUCUGUGGAAACUCCUAGAAAGGAAGCUCAGUCUUCCCCUCUAGACUUGAGUCUGAAGGCUUGUGACGCCUCAAUGACAUCCUGGAACCUGAGCUUGACGCUGAGUCCCGGAGAGAGGCUCUGUCCUCGGGACAGCAAGGAGCUCCUGAUCCAGCUUUGCCUGAAGCUGGCCCGACUUUCAGAUCUCCUAGCAAUGAGAACCAGUACAUUCUCUUUUAUUUUUAAGCCCCAUUGGAGUCAGAUUGCCAGUCACCAGAAGGAGAAUGAGUCCUCAUUUAUACAGGUGUGAUCAUAGGGUUAGGAAAAAAAGAAGGACCAAAUAUCCAGAGGAUAUAUCCCCAAAUGUUUACAGUAUUAUCUUUGGGUGGCGGGACUGUGGGUUAUUUUUAUUAAUCUCUUUGUAUGUCUCAUUUUCUGACUUGGUGGGGUAACAAGCAUGUUUUGUAAACAAGAGCAAACAAAGAAGAAAAGCCUCCAGUCAAUACUACAUUAAACAUUUGCUUCUUCGGUUUGGAAAGGCCAAGAGGCUAAAGGGGCCAAUCGCUCCUGUUCUUGCUGAAUUCGUGGCGCCACCGUCAGGCUCUCCUGGAGGGGCGGGGGUGGCAGUUGGAGGCAGGCCUCCCACCCGGGGCCCUGUAAUAACCACCCGAGGCGCUCCCUGAACCCUGAAGGAGGAAAUCCUUCUUGAUGCAACAAGGAGCGAACUUAUGGCCGCUGUUCUCACCAGAGAGGGGACGAGGUGGAAAAUAGAAAUGGUUUCAAGAGGUUUUGAAAUGUUCCCCAGUGACAGUUGAGUUACAGAGUUGGAGAAGGGUGUGGUAGGUGUGGGGCUGUCUGGGGCCUCAGGGAGGGUGUCAGGGACCCCCCCAACUCUGCCGAGGGGCCAAGCCAGGGCCACCUGGGAGGUGGGGUGGUGGGUGGCCCACGCCGAGUUGGGCAGGGCCCUGGUGGGCGGUGCCUGGGCUCACACUGCUGGUGUGUGUCCCCCCCCACGACAGGGACUCAGGGAGGCGGCAGGCGGCCCACAGCCCACAUGCCGGCUCAGCACCCAGGGCUGGGAAAGCGCACGCGUUUUAGCACUUGCUGUAUCUUGAGGGGCGCAGAGGACACCUGAGCUGCGUGGACUGUGGAAACCCCAAAUCCUGAGUCACUGCCGACUGCUGCUGCAGGCAAAGAACUCCAGCUGAAGGCAUCAAAUGUUGCCUCUACCUGUACAUGCAGGAAGCUAAGUGGUGGUAAAAUAACUAACUAACUAACUAACUAAAUAAAUAAAUAAAUAAAAAGAAAAAUAAAAAGGAAAGAAAAUGCAAUCAGCCUGGGCCAGGGAAUUCCUAUGUGUACUGGUUUGUGUGUAUGUGAGAGGAAAGAGAGAAUGGGAGAAAAAAUUUCAGAAAUCAUACAAGAUGUUGUCUUUUCUCUUGUGACAUUUGGGAUCUAUUUUUCUGCAGCACUGUUUUUCGAAGUGUGUUCCAUUGUAGUUCUAGUUCUUGAA